GACGAGGGGUCCAAGCGUUGCUCGGAAUUAUUGGGCGUAAAGCGAGUGUAGGUGGCUUUGUAAGUCAGGAGUGAAAGCCCCGGGCCUAACCCGGGAAGUGCUUUUGAUACUGCAAAGCUUGAAUGUGGGAGAGGAUCGUGGAAUUCCAGGUGUAGUGGUGAAAUGCGUAGAUAUCGGGAGGAACACCUGUGGCGAAAGCGGCGCACUGGACCACAACUGACGCUGAGGCGCGAAAGCUAGGGGAGCAAACAGG
rnacentral:rRNA from 1 species